AACGAACGCUGGCGGCAUGCCUAACACAUGCAAGUCGAACGAGACCUUCGGGUCUAGUGGCGCACGGGUGCGUAACGCGUGGGAACCUGCCCUUAGGUUCGGAAUAACUCCCCGAAAGGGGUGCUAAUACCGGAUAAUGUCUUCGGACCAAAGAUUUAUCGCCAUUGGAUGGGCCCGCGUUGGAUUAGCUAGUUGGUAGGGUAAAAGCCUACCAAGGCGACGAUCCAUAGCUGGUCUGAGAGGAUGAUCAGCCACACUGGGACUGAGACACGGCCCAGACUCCUACGGGAGGCAGCAGUGGGGAAUAUUGGACGAUGGGCGAAAGCCUGAUCCAGCAAUGCCGCGUGAGUGAUGAAGGGCUUAGGGUUGUAAAGCUCUUUUACCCGGGAUGAUAAUGACAGUACCGGGAGAAUAAGCUCCGGCUAACUCCGUG
rnacentral:rRNA from 1 species